UGCUUGCAUCAUGAUUUACAUUUGAGUGAGUGGCGAACUGGUGAGUAACACGUGGGAAACCUGCCCAGAAGCGGGGGAUAACACCUGGAAACAGAUGCUAAUACCGCAUAACAACUUGGACCGCAUGGUCCGAGCUUGAAAGAUGGCUUCGGCUAUCACUUUUGGAUGGUCCCGCGGCGUAUUAGCUAGAUGGUGGGGUAACGGCUCACCAUGGCAAUGAUACGUAGCCGACCUGAGAGGGUAAUCGGCCACAUUGGGACUGAGACACGGCCCAAACUCCUACGGGAGGCAGCAGUAGGGAAUCUUCCACAAUGGACGAAAGUCUGAUGGAGCAACGCCGCGUGAGUGAAGAAGGGUUUCGGCUCGUAAAACUCUGUUGUUAAAGAAGAACAUAUCUGAGAGUAACUGUUCAGGUAUUGACGGUAUUUAACCAGAAAGCCACGGCUAACUACGUGCCAGCAGCCGCGGUAAUACGUAGGUGGCAAGCGUUGUCCGGAUUUAUUGGGCGUAAAGCGAGCGCAGGCGGUUUUUUAAGUCUGAUGUGAAAGCCUUCGGCUCAACCGAAGAAGUGCAUCGGAAACUGGGAAACUUGAGUGCAGAAGAGGACAGUGGAACUCCAUGUGUAGCGGUGAAAUGCGUAGAUAUAUGGAAGAACACCAGUGGCGAAGGCGGCUGUCUGGUCUGUAACUGACGCUGAGGCUCGAAAGUAUGGGUAGCAAACAGGAUUAGAUACCCUGGUAGUCCAUACCGUAAACGAUGAAUGCUAAGUGUUGGAGGGUUUCCGCCCUUCAGUGCUGCAGCUAACGCAUUAAGCAUUCCGCCUGGGGAGUACGGCCGCAAGGCUGAAACUCAAAGGAAUUGACGGGGGCCCGCACAAGCGGUGGAGCAUGUGGUUUAAUUCGAAGCUACGCGAAGAACCUUACCAGGUCUUGACAUACUAUGCAAAUCUAAGAGAUUAGACGUUCCCUUCGGGGACAUGGAUACAGGUGGUGCAUGGUUGUCGUCAGCUCGUGUCGUGAGAUGUUGGGUUAAGUCCCGCAACGAGCGCAACCCUUAUUAUCAGUUGCCAGCAUUAAGUUGGGCACUCUGGUGAGACUGCCGGUGACAAACCGGAGGAAGGUGGGGAUGACGUCAAAUCAUCAUGCCCCUUAUGACCUGGGCUACACACGUGCUACAAUGGAUGGUACAACGAGUUGCGAACUCGCGAGAGUAAGCUAAUCUCUUAAAGCCAUUCUCAGUUCGGAUUGUAGGCUGCAACUCGCCUACAUGAAGUCGGAAUCGCUAGUAAUCGCGGAUCAGCAUGCCGCGGUGAAUACGUUCCCGGGCCUUGUACACACCGCCCGUCACACCAUGAGAGUUUGUAACACCCAAAGUCGGUGGGGUAACCU
rnacentral:rRNA from 1 species